rnacentral:rRNA from 1 species
ACUCCUACGGGAGGCAGCAGUGGGGAAUAUUGGACAGUGGGGGCAACCCUGAUCCAGCCAUGCCGCGUGAGUGAUGAAGGCCCUAGGGUUGUAAAGCUCUUUUGUGCGGGAAGAUAAUGACGGUACCGCAAGAAUAAGCCCCGGCUAACUUCGUGCCAGCAGCCGCGGUAAUACGAAGGGGGCUAGCGUUGCUCGGAAUCACUGGGCGUAAAGGGUGCGUAGGCGGGUCUUUAAGUCAGGGGUGAAAUCCUGGAGCUCAACUCCAGAACUGCCUUUGAUACUGAGGAUCUUGAGUCCGGAAGAGGUGAGUGGAACUGCGAGUGUAGAGGUGAAAUUCGUAGAUAUUCGCAAGAACACCAGUGGCGAAGGCGGCUCACUGGUCCGGUACUGACGCUGAGGCACGAAAGCGUGGGGAGCAAACAGGAUUAGAUACCCGUGUAGUCCC